GAUUAACGCUGGCGCCAUGCUUUACACAUGCAAGUCGAACGGUAACAGGGUGCUUGCACCGCUGACGAGUGGCGAACGGGUGAGUAAUGCGUCGGAACGUGCCGAGUAGUGGGGGAUAACGCAGCGAAAGUUGUGCUAAUACCGCAUACGUACUGAGGUAGAAAGUGGGGGACCUUCGGGCCUCACGCUAUUCGAGCGGCCGACGUCUGAUUAGCUAGUAGGUGAGGUAAAGGCUCACCUAGGCGACGAUCAGUAGCGGGUCUGAGAGGAUGAUCCGCCACACUGGGACUGGGACACGGCCCAGACUCCUACGGGAGGCAGCAGUGGGGAAUUUUGGACAAUGGGCGAAAGCCUGAUCCAGCCAUGCCGCGUGUCUGAAGAAGGCCUUCGGGUUGUAAAGGACUUUUGUCAGGGAGGAAAUCCCUAGUGCUAAUAACACUGGGGGAUGACAGUACCUGAAGAAUAAGCACCGGCUAACUACGUGCCAGCCGCCGCCGUAA
rnacentral:rRNA from 1 species